GUGAGUUCCAGGAUAGCCUGACUAUAGG
rnacentral:misc_RNA from 1 species